CAGCGGGAGAGCCCCUCCCCCGCCGGGCCGGAACACCCCCGCGCGCCUCACCUGCAUUUCUUUGAUGUUCUCCACCGGCGCGAUGGGCUGGGCGGGUCUGGCGUGGCGAUAGCCCGGCUUGGCUUGGGGCUGCGCUCUGCCCGCACUGCGCUGAUCCCCGGCCCCCUUCUCCAUCCCCUGCGCCUCCUCUAGCUCCCAGCAGCUGUGGGCGUGGGGCAGCGCCGGGUGCACGCCUGGGAGCCGCUUGAUCCGGCUGCGCUCGCCUCCGCCGGCUUUCAGGCCAGCCCCGCAGACCCUGUUUGCUGCUGCUGUUUCCAUGGAACAUCACUCCUAGCAAUACUGCUGGCCUGAACACUGCUGUCAACACCUGGCAUCAUCAUCCCCUGCCAAGACCAGGAACAGCACUUAGGGUUAAGUUGCAAUUCAGUUACAAGCACCAAGUAGAAUACCACACAUAGUUGUGCUGCCCAAACACCAAUCCAGAAAACGGAAUGUGACUGCUUCAGGGGACAUGUACUUCGCAACAGUGCUGUGCUGCAGCAUGUCCAUCAGCACAACUAUUAGGUCUCCGUGCCCCACUCCUUCACCUGCCUGGGAGAGAGUGGUAGCUUUACAAAGGUCGCUUCCCUCCCUCCUCCUCUUCUCUUUCCCUCCCUCCCCACACCGCCCUCGCCACUCGUUGUUCAUAAACAGUGUAAGGAAGUAAGGGGAUGCAAAACUGGCAAACCAAAUGCCAGCUCUGGCCAAGGCUGUAGGCAUUAGCUAAGAACUGACAAACUCAUAGCUGGAAACCAAACCAGCUUACCUGCAUGUUAGUUUUGUUCAAAACAGGUAUUAGUCUUAAGAAUGUUGUUAGUGUUUAGACUCUAUGAAAUGUUUGUAAGUUGCUACAUGCAUUGAUCUCACUUGUGAGGUCUGUA